rnacentral:sRNA from 1 species
GGAACCUGGGUAAAUGAGCUCCAAAAAUCUCAUCACCAGGUCGUCUUUAUGGCAACUUUGCCAAAAUAUGGUCCGAUUUAACCCUAUUUGGCGUGGAGUCUUAGCUAAGCCUGGUAGCUUUGUCAAGACAUAAUCUAACACAACCUGCCUAUUGUAAAACAUUAUCUGCUUCAAAUUUUAGCUCAAUACAUUUAAUUUUAAGGACUGUACUAUGAUUGACAGACUUGAAAAUGUACGACAAUCAUGAAUAUACAUACAGAGAAUGACAGAAAAAUUAUGUUCUUCGUUAUUGUUUUGUAUAAUAAUUGAUUUUGGAAAAGAAAAAAUCCUUUUCAAAAUUUGGGAAAAUCGUCACUCUGCAAUUUUUGAAGCAAAGCAAAUCAUUUUUUGUACUGAAUGAUUAGUGUUCUGCAAAAAAAAACGAUGCGUAUAUUCCUGCGCAUUCGUUGCAGUCUCAACAUCAACUGAAACAAAGAGCAUUAGAACGCGUGUGAGUAGCCAUCAACGCUACCGUAAGGGGCUGGACAUCGCUGCUCUACAAUGACUCAUGCUGCCAAGAUUAUAGAGCUUACCAUCAAUGCCUACACUCAAAUAAAGAUUUACUCAAACUUAAGUCUUUGUUUUAAAUUUAACGGUCUUAUUCCCAAAACUUAAUAAAGCCUUAAAAUAGGUUUAUUUGACAGUUCUAUAAGGGAAAUGUGGAAAUAAACCUAUUUCAAAUCUAUAUUAAGUUUUUUGAACACGUCCUUUAGGGUUUUGAUAAUAAUUCCGAGCUAAAGAUAUUCAACUCACAAAUAAGUAUAACGUCCUAGCAUAAAAGACGUGGUGUGGAUAUAAACCAAGUAUGCGGCAUCUUAAAUUGAAAACUGCAUGAAUCCUUAAUACAAGAAAUUAAUGUUAAAAUCAAGGCCCAGCCCAAUCAUAUGCAGACUUAAAUAACCAUACAAGUCCCCAAAUUCAAUACAAAAAUUUAAAUGGAUAAAUAUGUGCUGCAACUUAAUUUAAACGACAUUGAAUUUUUAAGAAAAGAGAUCCAUAUCCAUAAAA